rnacentral:rRNA from 1 species
GGAAGGAGAAGUCGUAACAAGGUUUUCAAUGGUCCUUCGAGCAUAACAGAGAAUAGAAUUCUCUUUUUGGUUCGAGGCUAACGGAAGCCUGAGCGAUCAACCCAACACUUUAAUUUGGUUGAGAGCUAGUACUUUAAAAAAUAAGUGCGACGUCACCAAAUUGCGGGGAAACACUCUCAAAACAAAUUGAAUGCAAGGGGUACCAAGCACGGUGAUUUUAUCAAAUUUAGAUAAAAUCUAGUGUGGCCAAGCAACCUACUUGGGUAUGGUAAUAAAUCACUUGCAUAUUCGAGUGUUAUCUGCGCCAAUCCUCUCUAUUAGAAGGGGGAACUGUUCACAGACUAAAAGGUGGCGGGUCUUCGUUUUUACCUGAUUCUAAUGGGGAUAAAAAACUGAAGGCUUAAGAUAUAGUCGGUCCUAUCAGACAUGGUAGGGGGAAUAUAAUUGGGAUAUUAUAUAUCCGAAGUGAAUUCACGU